UUCUUAGAAGCUUGCAACAGCAAUGAAUUUUUACUUCAUAAACAGAGGAUUACUCCUAAGAAA
rnacentral:tRNA from 1 species